rnacentral:lncRNA from 1 species
UAUUUUCUUUGUUUGCUUGUUUUAAUGUGUCUAUGGCUUAUAUUUGGGGACAUGAAUUCUGAAAAUAUUAAGGUACACUAGAGAUUAAUUGGGAAUGAUUAUGAUUUUUAUUGAUAGUGCGAAAGUGAAUGAUUUAUUUAUGUUAUACUUACCUGUCUCAGGAGUUCUAUUAAGUUUUGUGUGAACAAACUUUUCAUGUUUUGGGCGAGAUGACAAUGAAAGAAGAAUAAUGAGCAACAAUACUCUAAAAUUGAGGAUUCCC